rnacentral:rRNA from 1 species
UAUCAGUCAUGCAUAGCAUAUCAAUAAGCGGAGGAAAAGAAACUAACAAGGAUUCCCCUAGUAACGGCGAGUGAAGCGGGAAGAGCUCAAAUUUGAAAUCUUAAAGGGUUUCCCUUUACGAAUUGUAGUUUAAAGAAGUGUUUUCUGUUAGAGUUUCGGUAAAAGUUCUUUGGAAUAGGACAUCAUAGAGGGUGAGAAUCCCGUAUUUGACCGUUAUUUCUAGCUUUGUGAUACACUUUCAAAGAGUCGGAUUGUUUGGGAAUGCAGUCCAAAAUGGGUGGUAAAUUUCAUCUAAAGCUAAAUAUUGGCGAGAGACCGAUAGCGAACAAGUACCGUGAGGGAAAGAUGAAAAGAACCUUGAAAAGAGAGUUAAACAGUACGUGAAAUUGUCAAAAGGGAAGCGUUUGACACCAGUGUUGUUUAAUUGAAAAUCAAUUAACUAAUUUUUGAUUUUAAAUAGUAUUGACCUUUAUCAGCUUGCUAUUUGGUUUUGGGAAUCUCUUUUAAUGCACUUUUCAGUUAACAAGUCAACAUCAAUUUCCUUUGCUGUAAAAAGGUAAGAGGAAGGUGGCUUCAAUUUCGGUUGAAGUGUUUAUAGCCUUUUAUCUCUGCAGUCGGGGAGAUUGAGGUCUGCAGCGUAGAUCCUUCGGGGCUAGAUACAUUUAUGCUAAGUUAUAGCUUUUCAUAGACAACUUGUUGACUAUGUUUAGUCAUGUAGCUUACUCGUAAGUGCUAUUUUACCUACGCUUAGGAUGUUGAACUCUAUCACACACAG